rnacentral:rRNA from 1 species
AGUGAACGCUGGCGGUAGGCCUAACACAUGCAAGUCGAACGGCAGCACAGUAAGAGCUUGCUCUUACGGGUGGCGAGUGGCGGACGGGUGAGGAAUACAUCGGAAUCUACUUUUUCGUGGGGGAUAACGUAGGGAAACUUACGCUAAUACCGCAUACGACCUACGGGUGAAAGCAGGGGAUCUUCGGACCUUGCGCGAUUGAAUGAGACGAUGUCGGAUUAGCUAGUUGGCGGGGUAACGGCCCACCAAGGCGACGAUCCGUAGCUGGUCUGAGAGGAUGAUCAGCCACACUGGAACUGAGACACGGUCCAGACUCCUACGGGAGGCAGCAGUGGGGAAUAUUGGACAAUGGGCGCAAGCCUGAUCCAGCCAUACCGCGUGGGUGAAGAAGGCCUUCGGGUUGUAAAGCCCUUUUGUUGGGAAAGAAAAGCAGCAGGUUAAUACCCCGCUGUUCUGACGGUACCCAAAGAAUAAGCACCGGCUAACUUCGUG